GUGGUAAUGCCGGAUGCUCCAGUUGAUCGCAUGGUCUUCUGGGAAAGCUUUCGCGGUAUGGGAUGGGGUCGCGUCCUAUCAGCUUGACGGCGGGGUAACGGCCCACCGUGGCUUCGACGGGUAGCCGGCCUGAGAGGGCGACCGGCCACAUUGGGACUGAGAUACGGCCCAGACUCCUACGGGAGGCAGCAGUGGGGAAUAUUGCACAAUGGGCGCAAGCCUGAUGCAGCGACGCCGCGUGAGGGAUGGAGGCCUUCGGGUUGUAAACCUCUUUUAUCGGGGAGCAAGCGAGAGUGAGUUUACCCGUUGAAUAAGCACCGGCUAACUACGUGCCAGCAGCCGCGGUAAUACGUAGGGUGCAAGCGUUAUCCGGAAUUAUUGGGCGUAAAGGGCUCGUAGGCGGUUCGUCGCGUCCGGUGUGAAAGUCCAUCGCUUAACGGUGGAUCCGCGCCGGGUACGGGCGGGCUUGAGUGCGGUAGGGGAGACUGGAAUUCCCGGUGUAACGGUGGAAUGUGUAGAUAUCGGGAAGAACA
rnacentral:rRNA from 1 species